rnacentral:pre_miRNA from 14 species
GAAAGUUCACCCACUAGCGAGGUAUAGAGUUCCUAUGCGUUGUUUCGAUUCGCUAUCCAUAGGAACUUCAUACCGUGCUCUUGGAUGGCUUUCCGUU